UCCAGGGUAGCCUAGUGGACAUGGCAUCUGCCCGGUAAAUGGAACACUGUGGGUUUGAUUCCCAUCCAUGGAC
rnacentral:tRNA from 1 species